ACGUGUGCUACCCUCUGUUAAUCUCCUUGAGCCCUCACAACUUCUACUCUCAAGUGAAGACGUGCGCCACCUUCCCAGAAAAUCAGCUCAGACGUUCCUGAAUCCUCUCAAGGCAACAACCCUCUAAUGGAAAGAAGUGAAGGGCAUAAUAAGAUAUGAAGAGCCCAAUUGCCAAUAUCUCCAUGAAGCCAUUAGAAAGGAAAGUUCAAUUAAGAUCGAUUCUCUUCAUGAAUUGGAAGAUUUGUCCUGCGUGAAAUCAGGAGGAUCUACUUGGGUUGGAUAUCGACAAAGGAUUGGCCGCUAGGAAUAUAAGAGUGGAAGCAGAUGUCACCGCCCCUAUCCUUUUUUUCUUCCAAUUUUCCUCGACCUCAGUUGUAGUCUUCAAAACUCAAUUUUAUUGCUUUUUAAUUUCUGUUAUGGAGAACUAAUCUCCUAGCUAAGGCGAGGGGAGAAACCUUGGAUUGCUUAUGUAGUUUUUAUUAAUUCAAUUCGAUUGGAACUUCAAUGCAAAUUCAAUUUUCGGAUGUUCAAUUUUAAUUUCUGCUUUUACUUUUUAGUUCGAUUGAUGGGUAUUUGAUAAUCUAUUUCAUAGGUUCAAUCAUGUUUUUCCUAUUGUUUGGUACAAAUAUCUAUGCUUUUGAGACUAAGUAUUUAGCAUGUUGAUUGAUGAUUUCGGUGGAAUUGAAUCUUGAUAGGUUGUUGCCAUAGGUACAGGUUAUGCUUGUGAAAUUCCUAUGAAAUUAUUGGGUUUAUGUGCUUGAACAACUUUAACUGAAUUCAUUUUUAGAGUCAGAUUUCUUGAAUAAGUUUCAUAGAAAAGAGUCGAAUUGAUAUAACCCCGAAACCUUAGUGUCUCUCAUUAUCGUAUUCUCUCUCAAUUAAACUCACAAUCGUUUUCUUUUUCAGUUCAUCAUUUGUGUACUUUUUCACUGCUCUCGGCGGAAACGACACUCGUACUUCCGAGUCUAUACUACUACGCGACUCCUGCACUUGGGAUUAGCAAGCAAUAGAUGUUCUUCAUAACCGUUCACAAUGUCCUUGGAGAAUCAAAGUGCUGGUUCAUGAUAUUUGAUACCUAGUAAGCAAGUUUGAAGCUGUGACCUUUAAGCAUGUUUGGAGGGAAGCCAAUUUUCUAGCAGAUAGCCUAGCUUCGUUGGGUCACUCGGUGCCAAAUUCUAUUUCUUGGUUGUAUUAGAUUCCCCCUCAAACUCAGCCUGCGUUCCAGUUUGAUAUGUUAGGAAUAAGUUGUGCUAGAGGGUUUUAUUUAUAGUCUAUGUUUAUCUAUUCUUAAUCAAAAAAUAAAUCCCCAUUACAUUUGGUGGACUUGGUAAUAGUUUAUAUGUGAACUAUUCAGGUCCUUAGGUCCUAACUUUGUUGACACUUAUUAGAGUUUAAAUCUCAAUUUGUUUUUAUGUCUAUUGAAGAAAGCGUUUUGACAUUAUCCCUUAUAAUAUUGUUUAAUUUUUAGGCCUAUAAAAGCUUACGAGGAAACUGGGUUGAUCAUUAUCAAACAAAUAUAGCGUGUGUAACUGACUAAAUAUCAAUAUAUGUUACAAAUUCCAAGGAAUCAGAUUUGCUGACUAACAGAUUUGUUGGUCAGCUAUGACCAACCAAUCAUCUCUCUCUCUCUCUCUCUCUCUCUCUUGAUUGGUUGGUCACAGCUGACCAAACAAAUCUGUUGGUCACAGCUGUUGGUCAGCAAAUUUGAUUCCUCCCAAUAUCUUUUACAAACAUAUGUCAACACAUUCACUUGGUAUGAAAGUUUGUCUCUCAUUCUAUGACUUUGGACUCGCCAAUUAGACUAAUGUCAAACUAUAACUAAGAUGAAGAGGCUAGGGUACCUCCUAAAAAGAUAUGAAGAGGGUAUCUGAGCAAAACAGAAGGUAAUUUAUAUGAAAAAUUUG
rnacentral:lncRNA from 1 species